AAGGAAUUGGCUUCUGCCAACAACCAGAAUGAGCAUGAAAGUGGAUUAGUCCUUGGAACUUCCAGAUAAGAGCCCAGCCAGCUAUACUUGGAUUUCAGCCUGUGAGAUUCUCAGCAGAGAACCCAGUCAAGUGUGUCCAGACGUCCAACCUACAGAACUGAGUCUAGCUCUGUUGCCCAAGCUGGAGUGCAAUGGCACAAUCUCAGCUCACUGCAACUGCCACCUCCCGGUUCAAGCGAUUCUCC
rnacentral:lncRNA from 10 species